rnacentral:lncRNA from 1 species
GUUGGUUUCCAGUAUAUACUUGUCUUGUACCUAUUGUCCUGUACUAUUAUUUCAAUGUCCAGAAAAUGCACUUGCAUGUUGCUGCACUGAUCUUGGUUCAGACAUAGUCUGCAUGCUUCAUUUGUUAAGUGUUCGGCUAGUGUUUGUUUUGCUACCUGGUCUCCAUAUAACAAGAAUAUUGUCCACAUAUCUUACAUAAUCAAUUAUAUUUGGCUGUAACUUUUUUAAGACUUCUUCCUCAAUCUCUCUUAUCAGGACUUCCGCUAGCACUCCUGCUAUAGAGCUUCCGAUGGGUACCCUGUUUUCUGUCUGUAGAAGUUUUUUCUAAACGUAUAAUAUGAGUCAUAACAUAGCAUGUGGUCUAUAUCUCUUAGAAUUGAUGCUGUUGUCUCUGAGUUUGUUAUAUUCUUCAGCAGGAACCGGUAGAAUACUAAACAGGUCGCUUCUAGCCUCGGAUGGAUACAAGCUUUUAAAAUCAUACGUUGUUAAAAUUUCACCUGGAUUAUGUAUCCUAUUCUGUAUUUUCUUAAGGACAUCAUAAGUGCUGUUGGCUGUGUGUUUAUAUUCUUUUAAGAUGUUGUUACUCCAUUUAGCUACUUUUUCUUCUAGAUUGUAUGUGGGCACACAUCAUUUUUCGACUAUUGGCCUUGCUUCCAUAGCUGUCUUAUGCAUCUUAAUAUAAGUGAACAUUCUUGGGCAUGAUGCUGCUUUUAUUUUCUUAUGGCGAAAAACUUCUGGGAAUUUUUUAUUUUUUACUAGCCUGUCCACUUUUGCUUUGAUCUUCUUAACUGGGU